GUGGGGAAUAUUGGACAAUGGGCGAAAGCCUGAUCCAGCCAUGCCGCGUGUGUGAAGAAGGUCUUCGGAUUGUAAAGCACUUUAAGUUGGGAGGAAGGGCAGUAAGUUAAUACCUUGCUGUUUUGACGUUACCGACAGAAUAAGCACCGGCUAACUUCGUGCCAGCAGCCGCGGUAAUACGAAGGGUGCAAGCGUUAAUCGGAAUUACUGGGCGUAAAGCGCGCGUAGGUGGUGUUAUAAGUUGGAGGUGAAAUCCCCGGGCUCAACCUGGGAACUGCCUCCAAAACUGCAUGACUAGAGUACGGUAGAGGGUAGUGGAAUUUCCUGUGUAGCGGUGAAAUGCGUAGAUAUAGGAAGGAACACCAGUGGCGAAGGCGACUACCUGGACUGAUACUGACACUGAGGUGCGAAAGCGUGGGGAGCAAACAGGAUUAGAAACCCGAGUAGUCC
rnacentral:rRNA from 1 species